rnacentral:rRNA from 1 species
UACAGAGGUCUCGAGCGUUAGGCGGAAUCACUGGGCUUAAAGCGUGUGUAGGCGGAUCGUUAAGUACCUUGUGAAAUCCCACGGCUUAACCGUGGAACUGCUUGGUAUACUGGCGGUCUUGAGCCAGCUAGGGGCUACCGGAACAAAUGGUGGAGCGGUGAAAUGCGCAGAUAUCAGGAAGAACACCCGUGGCGAAGGCGGCUCUCUGGGACGGUACUGACGCUGAGACGCGAAAGCGUGGGGAGCGAACAGG